rnacentral:lncRNA from 1 species
UACUGGGGGCGUAAGCCAUAUUUUCCUGACAGUUUCACAAGAGAGUGUGAGUCAAGGCAACUGCUGCCAGUCAUUUUCCGAAUGAGCAGGCAUCUUCCCAGAGCUCAGACACAUCACAGAGGUUUAAUGGAAUCUAUAGGAGGCAUUUUGGAGCAGAGAUGGAACCACAACCUGUGUAAAGCAUCACCUUUAAUUCAUUACCUCCCCACUCUGGGCUUAGAAAUUGCACGUUCUGAGCUGUUUGGCUAACUCAGAUUGAAGUAACAGAGGGAACAUUUUAGCCUGUGAGACAACCAGAAUUUGGCAAUUAAAACCAAGCCAGCUUGCCUUGAUCUCUGCUUAACCCCAGUUAACAUGAUGAGGUUGCUGUAGUUAGGGCCCAUAACCACCCUGGGCUUGCUGAACUCGUGAAACAAUUGCUGGACAGUGUUACUUGUAUGUGUGAGCUCAGUCCCGGAUCAUCUCAAGCUCUGUGAAAUGUCAAGUAAAAAUAAAGCUAUUCUGCUCUUACCAUUUUGAUUUUUCAGCCCUUACUGUCCAAGGCUUUCCUAGGAGUGACUUCAUCUCAAUGACUGCUUUAUUCAUCCCGAGAUGUUGACGCUUGCAGCAACUGCACGUCUCACUCUGCCAAACUGCUCUCAGCACCACUGUAGCCCGUCUCUUUGACAUCUUCCAGCACCAGCACAGAGUUGUCUCUCUGAGGGUGCCAAAGUUGUGGCCCUGCAGGAAGAUCUGCAGAAGCUGCUUGCAGCCUCAGCUGGGAGCUGGGCAGGUGCCAUGCAGGGACAGCUGUGUGUGGCACCUUCUAGACUUUUUCUCUCAUGUACCAACACUUAGAAGAUCAUUUGCUUCCAUUGGUGGCAUCUCAGAGGGACAAAUGGCUGCCUGCUCCUCACCCAUGCAAGCCUCACUGAUGGUCACUGUGGAAAAGCCCAUCUAAAUCACCUUUAUGGGCAGGGUGUGAACAGUAGGUGGCAAAAUAGACUUUGAAGACAAAUGCUC